GACAAGAGCUGCUAAGAAGCAGGCUUAUGAGAACGGCAGAGAAGCGAGUUGAAGCUGCUGAGAAGCGAGCUGAAACUGCUGUAAGAGCUGAAGGGAGCUGCUGUGAAGCAAGCUGAGACUGCUAAGAAACGAGCUGGAAUGAACUGCUAGAGAGCUGUUGAGGUGCGAGCUGGGGAGCGAGCUGGGGAAAGCUGCUGAAAAGAGAGCUAAAGCUAAGACGAGCUGCUGAGAAGUUAGCUGAAGCUGAUAAGCAAGCUAAAGUUGAGAAGUGAGCUCAAGCUGAGAAGCGAGCUGAGGAGAGCUAUGAGAGCAAGCUGAGGAGAAGUGCUGAAAAGAAAGUUUCCGAGGCGAGCUGCUGAAGAGCAGGCUUACGAGGAGUGCUGCUAAGAAACAGGUUUACAAGAGCUACUGUUUGGCGAAGUCUCGCUCAACUCUUUUAAUUAGCUCGGUUAGCGAGAAUUUUCAGAUCAAGUGUGAGCAUAGUAUAAAAGAGUAAUAAAGCAAGUAUUAUCAAACAAUGCUUAUUAAUUUCAUAGGUAGUAAUACUUAUCUUUGGUUUUGGAGACAAUGGGUGGGUUGUACCUUAGACCCUUGUCGAUGUAGGAUCUUCGUUAGUUCCUCUCAGACACGCAUGAAUAAGUUGUCAACGAACUGUUACUUUUUCGAUUCCACCGUUGAAUCACUAUCUAGUAAUAUCAUGAACCUCUCUGUAAAAUUCCGUCUCCAUCAGAUGUCGAAUGUGUCUUCCACGAGCCCUCUAAGUUGAGGCGAUAAGGGGCGUUCUUUCAGAUUUUUGUAGAUUUUAGCCACUUCCAAAGCGAUGUGCAGAUGGAGAUUAACUCGGAAUGAGAAUCCGUUUGUUGCACUAGACUCCUUGUAGAAAGAUCUUUUCAAAGAUUCUUUGGUCAAGUUCAAGUUCCUUCUGGUUCAUCGGGAAUUUGAUUUUGAUGCUGGAUGAUCCGAAACUGCAUUUUCGGAGUUCGGAAGGGUUGCGUCUGAUGCAUACGAACAAUGAUAACUCUCGUCAGAUAGCGCAGAUUGAAGUGAGGUCGGUCUUGAUAGAAAUAUAAGCUUCGGGGCUUCAAAAUGUCAUGUAGAUCGCCUCUAGCUUCCUUCGAUAUCGUCGGGAAACUAGUCAGGAAGUGGGAUGAUCUGAUUAUAACGAAUCUGUGUGUUCGGAUUUGUGCAUGGUUGCGUCUGCUGC
rnacentral:lncRNA from 1 species